rnacentral:rRNA from 1 species
CGGGACACGUGGUAUCCUGUCUGAAUAUGGGGGGACCAUCCUCCAAGGCUAAAUACUCCUGACUGACCGAUAGUGAACCAGUACCGUGAGGGAAAGGCGAAAAGAACCCCGGCGAGGGGAGUGAAAAAGAACCUGAAACCGUGUACGUACAAGCAGUGGGAGCCCCACCACUAAGCCAGUGGUGAACUCCACAUACGCAUCCUUUGCUGAGGAUACGGUUAACGGAGCGAAAGCGACGUUCAACCGCAAAAGAAGCAGAGGGGGCUUAGUGGUGGGGUGACUGCGUACCUUUUGUAUAAUGGGUCAGCGACUUAUAUUCUGUAGCAAGGUUAACCGUAUAGGGGAGCCGGAGGGAAACCGAGUCUUAAUUGGGCGUUAAGUUGCAGGGUAUAGACCCGAAACCCGGUGAUCUAGCCAUGGGCAGGUUGAAGGUUGGGUAACACUAACUGGAGGACCGAACCGACUAAUGUUGAAAAAUUAGCGGAUGACCUGUGGCUGGGGGUGAAAGGC